rnacentral:lncRNA from 1 species
AGAGAGGCUGAGGCCCAACCUGCCCUUUGCAUGCCUUCCCUGCCCUCUGAGCUCACCACACUGAGAAAUGAGUACGGGGGGGGGGGGGGGGGGGGUGGUGCCUUCUCCUGUCACGUUCCCACUCCUGCCCAUCUCCAUCAGUACAUUUAGAGAAGCAUCGUCCUUACUCCUGUAACGCUGGCUUGAAUUCUUGUAUAAUUCUGCCAUCAGUAAAGUGAGCUCGCCUCAAGCUCUUUUGCUGCAGAAAUGCACGGAAAAUAUGAGAGGAUCCUGAAAGAAUUCUCUGGCAGAGAGCACAUCUUGUUUUCGGCCGGCAUUUGUUCGUCGUCGUCGUCGUCACUACCUACAUUCCCCCGCCGUGUUCACAUAUGAAAACAAUUAUUUCUCAGUUCAGGAAGUCGGUUUUAAUCGUUAGUUUGGCUUCAAAGGAUCCAGCACCCUUUACAAGGUCAGACUAGCUCCAAAGACAGCUAGGCAGAAACUCUGGCCUGGGAGUAAGCUGAGCUUUCCUGGUAGGCAACUGCUUAGAACUUGUGCUUGAGUCCUGGAAAUGAGGAAGAUGUCCUAUCUGAGGUGGAAGGGAAGAGUUCAUCCCUGAGUGCUGGAGAGACGGUCUCAGAGAAACAACUUCCCUCGGUCUCACCUGCACUCGGUAUUCAACAAGUUCCACUGGAGAGACUCGAGCCCCACACAGGGGUCAGGGCCCUGAUUUCUUGCCCCAGAUGUGUGACCCUAGGCAAAUCCAUCAGAAUCUAGGAAUUUCUAUUUACUCAGGUGUAUGUAGGGUUUCAACCAGUCCUUCUGCUAAGCAUAAAUACCUUCUGUUUUCCUUAUUGGCUCUGCACCAUGACAACUGUAAAUUAAUCUUUAUCUUCAGACAGCAAUAGAAUUAGACGCAAUAUGAGCAUUUUGCUUUGAUGGAUAUAACAGAAAGCCUUCACAUCUGUGCACGUGGUAGGGGUUAAUAUAAUGGAGAGCCCUACACACCAGGGUCUUUCAGAUUAUAGUGGGCAAAAGAAUCAGCUCAUUGAAAAUGCAUUGAGAGAUUGGCCCUGAGAAUCAGCGCAGACAGCUGCACCAUGUGGGUCAGGUCUGGAGGGGAUACUUACAGACAUCUGAGCCUUGGCUGGGCACCCAGGCUGUCCCCGCACAGCUGGGCCUGCUCUUCCUACCCAACUUAAGAGAUUUUGCUGCUGCUUCUAACAGUUAGGAAACCAGCUUGGAAGGCUUGACUCUGCAAGGGAGGGGCCACCUGGCCCAGGUUAACAGCCAGCUAGAGUGCUAAAGAGGGAAAUAAAAAUUAAGAACAUA